rnacentral:rRNA from 1 species
CGCGUAGGCGGCUCGGCACGUCCGUUGUGAAAUCGCCCGGCUCAACUGGGCGGGGUCAGCGGAUACGGUCGAGCUCGAGCAAGCUAGGGGGCAAUGGAAUUCCCGGUGUAGUGGUGGAAUGCGUAGAUAUCGGGAGGAACACCAGUGGCGAAGGCGGUUGCCUGGGGCUUUGCUGACGCUGAUGCGCGAAAGCGUGGGGAGCGAUCC